CUUCAACGAACCCAGAUACAGCGGCUGUUCGCGAUCCUGACCGUAGGUGGCCAACAGCGCCUGCGCCUC
rnacentral:antisense_RNA from 1 species